GGAAGAUUGGCCGAGCUGGUCGAUGGCACCGGUCCUGAAAACCGGAAGGCCCGGAAGGGUCUCGUGGGUUCGAAUCCUACAUCUUCCG
rnacentral:tRNA from 1 species